rnacentral:rRNA from 1 species
GACGAACCGUGCGAACGUUGUUCGGAAUCACUGGGCGUAAAGGGCGCGUAGGCGGCCACGACAAGUCACUUGUGAAAUCUCCGGGCUUAACUCGGAACGGUCAAGUGAUACUGUCGGGCUAGAGUGCGGAAGGGGCAACUGGAAUUCUCGGUGUAGCGGUGAAAUGCGUAGAUAUCGAGAGGAACACCUGCGGCGAAGGCGGGUUGCUGGGCCGACACUGACGCUGAGGCGCGAAAGCUAGGGGAGCGAACGGG